rnacentral:tRNA from 1 species
GACCGUGUAGCUCAGUUGGUUAGAGCGUGGUGCUAAUAGGUCUCAUCAGAGACCGGAAACGCCAAGGUCUUGGGUUCGACCCCCAAUAUGGUCA